UUGGUGCUUGCAUCAUGAUUUACAUUUGAGUGAGUGGCGAACUGGUGAGUAACACGUGGGAAACCUGCCCAGAAGCGGGGGAUAACACCUGGAAACAGAUGCUAAUACCGCAUAACAACUUGGACCGCAUGGUCCGAGCUUGAAAGAUGGCUUCGGCUAUCACUUUUGGAUGGUCCCGCGGCGUAUUAGCUAGAUGGUGGGGUAACGGCUCACCAUGGCAAUGAUACGUAGCCGACCUGAGAGGGUAAUCGGCCACAUUGGGACUGAGACACGGCCCAAACUCCUACGGGAGGCAGCAGUAGGGAAUCUUCCACAAUGGACGAAAGUCUGAUGGAGCAACGCCGCGUGAGUGAAGAAGGGUUUCGGCUCGUAAAACUCUGUUGUUAAAGAAGAACAUAUCUGAGAGUAACUGUUCAGGUAUUGACGGUAUUUAACCAGAAAGCCACGGCUAACUACGUGCCAGCAGCCGCGGUAAUACGUAGGUGGCAAGCGUUGUCCGGGAUUUAUUGGGCGUAAAGCGAGCGCAGGCGGUUUUUUAAGUCUGAUGUGAAAGCCUUUCGGCUCAACCGAAGAAGUGCAUCGGAAACUGGGAAACUUGAGUGCAGAAGAGGACAGUGGAACUCCAUGUGUAGCGGUGAAAUGCGUAGAUAUAUGGAAGAACACCAGUGGCGAAGGCGGCUGUCUGGUCUGUAACUGACGCUGAGGCUCGAAAGUAUGGGUAGCAAACAGGAUUAGAUACCCUGGUAGUCCAUACCGUAAACGAUGAAUGCUAAGUGUUGGAGGGUUUCCGCCCUUCAGUGCUGCAGCUAACGCAUUAAGCAUUCCGCCUGGGGAGUACGGCCGCAAGGCUGAAACUCAAAGGAAUUGACGGGGGCCCGCACAAGCGGUGGAGCAUGUGGUUUAAUUCGAAGCUACGCGAAGAACCUUACCAGGUCUUGACAUACUAUGCAAAUCUAAGAGAUUAGACGUUCCCUUCGGGGACAUGGAUACAGGUGGUGCAUGGUUGUCGUCAGCUCGUGUCGUGAGAUGUUGGGUUAAGUCCCGCAACGAGCGCAACCCUUAUUAUCAGUUGCCAGCAUUAAGUUGGGCACUCUGGUGAGACUGCCGGUGACAAACCGGAGGAAGGUGGGGAUGACGUCAAAUCAUCAUGCCCCUUAUGACCUGGGCUACACACGUGCUACAAUGGAUGGUACAACGAGUUGCGAACUCGCGAGAGUAAGCUAAUCUCUUAAAGCCAUUCUCAGUUCGGAUUGUAGGCUGCAACUCGCCUACAUGAAGUCGGAAUCGCUAGUAAUCGCGGAUCAGCAUGCCGCGGUGAAUACGUUCCCGGGCCUUGUACACACCGCCCGUCACACCAUGAGAGUUU
rnacentral:rRNA from 2 species